UGGUUCUCUGCCUUUUGCCUACUAAGACCUUGAAGCUAACUAUAUAAGCAUGCAGUCAAUAUUGCUGAGACUUCGUUUUCUUUUAACUCUGGAGUGUUUAUGGUUUGUCUCAGAUCUGAACUAAUGUCACUAAAAUGCUAAUGCCACUCAUAUUACAAUCAUCUUGUUUUCUUUAAGAAUCCAUUUCAUGAAACAAGAAAAACUUUGCUUGUCCAUUAUUUAUGUGGUCUCUGACAUUCUAGCAGGCCCUGCAGUUGUCAUUGUAUAUAUGGAUCCAUUUCAUGAAACAAGAAAAACUUUGCUUUUCCAUUAUUUAUGUGGUCUCUGACAUUCUAACAGGCCCUGCAGUUGUCAUUGUAUAUAUGGAUGUAUAUGAUGCGUGAAGUGUAAACUGAGCCUACAGAAUGUAACUUUAAAUACUAUACCCGAAAACGUAAGACUACUAGAGACUACUAGGAAGUUCUAUACAGUGUUUGCAAAGCUGAUCAUUGUGAGCUGAGCUUUUCGAUAUGAAACUUUUAAACCCCCAUGAUGACAAAACUUAAGACUACUGGUGACUACUAGGAACUUUAUACCCUGUUAGCACUUAGCAAGCUGAUUGUUGUGAAUUGAGCUUAUAGAAAUGUGACUUUUAAGCCGCCACAAUGACAAAACUUAAGACUACUGGGGUAAGUUCUAUACAGUGUUUGCAAAGUUGAUUGUUUUUCACUCUGCUCUUAUUCUAAGAAUUUUCAUUUGAAAACCAAGUCAUAUCUUUUACAAUGCAAUGGGGCCACUGACUUGAAAAGUAAGACUAUAGCAAUAAUACUUUAUUUUGGAC
rnacentral:lncRNA from 1 species